GUAAAGCGAAACUAGGGUUCCGGCUUUCUGCUGAAAGUGUCUGGUCCGAGAGUUUCCGGCUUCGUCGUGACGAGGCUCCACGGAGGGAUAAAAGCCCGGGAGAU
rnacentral:sRNA from 12 species